rnacentral:rRNA from 1 species
AGUGAACGCUGGCGGUAGGCCUAACACAUGCAAGUCGAACGGCAGCACAGUAAGAGCUUGCUCUUACGGGUGGCGAGUGGCGGACGGGUGAGGAAUACAUCGGAAUCUACUUUUUCGUGGGGGAUAACGUAGGGAAACUUACGCUAAUACCGCAUACGACCUACGGGUGAAAGCAGGGGAUCUUCGGACCUUGCGCGAUUGAAUGAGCCGAUGUCGGAUUAGCUAGUUGGCGGGGUAAAGGCCCACCAAGGCGACGAUCCGUAGCUGAUCUGAGAGGAUGAUCGGCCACACUGGAACUGAGACACGGUCCAGACUCCUACGGGAGGCAGCAGUGGGGAAUAUUGGACAAUGGGCGAAAGCCUGAUCCAGCCAUACCGCGUGGGUGAAGAAGGCCUUCGGGUUGUAAAGCCCUUUUGUUGGGAAAGAAAAGCAGCAGGUUAAUACCCCGCUGUUCUGACGGUACCCAAAGAAUAAGCACCGGCUAACUUCGUG